rnacentral:rRNA from 1 species
UACAGAGGGGGCAAGCGUUGUUCGGAAUUACUGGGCGUAAAGGGCGCGUAGGCGGCCCUCUAAGUCGAACGUGAAAUCCCCGGGCUCAACCCGGGAACUGCGUCCGAUACUGGAAGGCUUGAAUCCGGGAGAGGGAUGCGGAAUUCCAGGUGUAGCGGUGAAAUGCGUAGAUAUCUGGAGGAACACCGAUGGCGAAGGCAGGUCUCUGGGCCAUAACUGACGCUGAGAAGCGAAAGCAUGGGGAGCGAACAGG